CACUGGAUGUUAAAUAGACAGGGAAGAUCCAUAUCUCCACUACAUGUUUAAUAGUGGUUGAUGUGGAAAUGCUCCAUGCCAUCUGGAAGAACCAACUGAUGAACAUAAGGACAACAGGAGGAGGAGCAGUCAAAGAAAAAGAAAAAGAAGAAAUCCUUCAAGAAACCAG